AGAGUUUGAUCCUGGCUCAGAUUGAACGCUGGCGGCAUGCCUUACACAUGCAAGUCGAACGGCAGCACGGACUUCGGUCUGGUGGCGAGUGGCGAACGGGUGAGUAAUACAUCGGAACGUGCCUAGUAGUGGGGGAUAACUACUCGAAAGAGUGGCUAAUACCGCAUGAGAUCUAUGGAUGAAAGCAGGGGACCUUAGGGCCUUGUGCUACUGGAGCGGCCGAUGGCAGAUUAGGUAGUUGGUGGGAUAAAAGCUUACCAAGCCAACGAUCUGUAGCUGGUCUGAGAGGACGACCAGCCACACUGGGACUGAGGCACGGCCCAGACUCCUACGGGAGGCAGCAGUGGGGAAUUUUGGACAAUGGGCGCAAGCCUGAUCCAGCAAUGCCGCGUGCAGGAUGAAGGCCUUCGGGUUGUAAACUGCUUUUGUACGGAACGAAAAGGUGCUCUCUAAUACAGGGCGCUCAUGACGGUACCGUAAGAAUAAGCACCGGCUAACUACGUGCCAGCAGCCGCGGUAAUAC
rnacentral:rRNA from 1 species